AUGACAUCAUCAUGGACAGCUAGGCAGAACAAACUGUUUGAACAAGCAUUAGCUUUAUAUGAUAGAGAAACUCCUGACAGAUGGCACAAUGUUGCCAAUGUGGUUGGAAAAUCAGUUGAAGAUGUCAAAACUCACUAUGAAAUCCUCAAAGAAGAUGUUCAACGUAUUGAGCAUGGCCAUGUUCCUUUUCCUCGCUACAAAACUAACACCAACAACUGA